AAGAGAGUGGCAGAGUGGUAAUGCGGUCGGCUUGAAACCGUCUUAUGGGGGUUCAAUUCCUUCCUUUCUUG
rnacentral:tRNA from 1 species